ensembl:lncRNA
GGUUUUACCAGUCUAGUUUUUAUAGUGGAGGGUAAGGGUUAGUGGAGAGGGUUUAACCAGUGUAGUUUUUAUAGUGGAGGGUAAGGGUUAGUGGUGAGGGUUUUACCAGUCUAGUUUGUAUAGUGGAGGGUUAGUCGUGAGGGUUUAACCAGUCUUGUUUUUAUAGUGGAGGGUAAGGGUUAGUGGUGAGGGUUUUACCAGUCUAGUUUUUAUAGUGGAGGGUUAGUGGUGAGCGUUUAACCAGUCUAGUUUUUAUCGUGUAGGGUAAGGGUUAGUGGUAAGGGUUUAACCAGUCUAGUUUUUAUAGUGGAGGGUAAGGGUUAGUGGUGAGGGUUUUACCAGUCUAGUUUUUAUAGUGGAAGGUUAGUCGUGAGGGUUUAACCAGUCUUGUUUUUAUAGUGGAGGGUUAGUGGUGAGGGUUUAACCAGUCUAGUUUUUAUCGUGUAGGGUAAGGGUUAGUGGUAAGGGUUUAACCAGUCUAGUUUUUAUAGUGGAGGGUAAGGGUUAGUGGUGAGGUUUUUACCAGUCUAGUUUUUAUAGUGGAGGGAAAGGGUUAGUGGUGAGGGUUUUACCAGUCUAGUUUUUAUAGUAGAGGGUAAGGGUUAGUGGAGAGGGUUUAACCAGUCUAGUUGUUAUAGUGGAGGUUAAGGGUUAGUGGUGAGGGUUUUCCCAGUCUAGUUUUAUAGUGGAGGGUAAGGGUUAGUGGUGAGGGUUUUACCAGUCUAGUUUUUAUAGUGG